CCCUUUGCCAGUCAAUGAUGAUGAUGCAAAGUGAAUCAAAAUCCCAUAUAUAUUCGACAUUAUAAUUUACCAGUGAACAUAAUGAGUUAUGAUUGUUACUUUGGAUGGUUCCAUUGUGUGUGUCUGUGUCAGCUGCUCCAGCAGGUCCUUCCACAUCCUUGCGGCUCGCAUGUUUUUCGCCUUUUCACCGGCUUCAAUUUAAUAACGAGGAGACGAGCGGAAAGAAGACUACGACGGCAGCAACGUGCAGCAAGCAACAAAGCAAUUGAGGGCCACUUUUAUCAUCAAAUGAUUUUACCCCAGCUCAGACGGCGCAAUUUCCACGAAGAAGUUCACUGAAAGACUAAAAGGGAACACAACAACUCAACAAGCCAAGCAUUUUUCGAUUUCUAGAGAUGUACUUUAUAUGACAUAUCUGUGAUAUAUAUUGUGUACCGAAACUAAGUGUCCUUCCACCUAACUUGCAUAAUUAUAACAUGAAAAUCAGGCCGAAAGCAGAUGCAGAACUACUAAAAAAAUUUACUUAAUUCUAAAGGACAUGAUGGAAAAACAAGCCAAGACUUGUGCACAUAAGGACAACGGAAUGGUGUCCUGAGUGUGGGAACUUCACAAAAAAAAAAUCCCCUUUGGUGUGAUGGUUUCUGUAUGGGAGUGCAACGCAAAUAUAAUAAAAUGGCCAACACAUCGACAUCGUGGACAGCGGAUGGAAGGUACGAGGGACGAUGGUGCAGCAGCAUCUAUGCUCCUUGUCAAAGGAUAACACACUCACACUAGCUAGAAGUCGUCGUCGUCGCAGG